GCCCCCAGUCCAUACAUGGAAGCAUCUGUAUGAACGAGAAAACGUUUGUUAGGGACUGGGGCAGCCAGGACAGGGGCAUUCACAAGAGCUUGCUUCAGGGCCUGAAACGCGGCUUCACAAGCUGGAGACCACAGGACCUGCUUAGGUAAAUUCUUCUUAGUCAGGUCAGUCAAGGGCUUGGCAACCGUACUGUAGUCAGGGACAAAACGUCGGUAAUACCCUGCC